UGAGUAAUGUCUGGGAAACUGCCUGAUGGAGGGGGAUAACUACUGGAAACGGUAGCUAAUACCGCAUAACGUCGCAAGACCAAAGAGGGGGACCUUCGGGCCUCUUGCCAUCAGAUGUGCCCAGAUGGGAUUAGCUAGUAGGUGGGGUAAUGGCUCACCUAGGCGACGAUCCCUAGCUGGUCUGAGAGGAUGACCAGCCACACUGGAACUGAGACACGGUCCAGACUCCUACGGGAGGCAGCAGUGGGGAAUAUUGCACAAUGGGCGCAAGCCUGAUGCAGCCAUGCCGCGUGUGUGAAGAAGGCCUUCGGGUUGUAAAGCACUUUCAGCGAGGAGGAAGGUGGUGAGCUUAAUACGCUCAUCAAUUGACGUUACUCGCAGAAGAAGCACCGGCUAACUCCGUGCCAGC
rnacentral:rRNA from 1 species